UACAUGGGGUGCAAACGUUGCUCGGAAUCAUUGGGCGUAAAGCGCGCGUAGGCGGUUACUUAAGUCGGGAUGUGAAAGCCCUCGGCUUAACCGAGGAAGUGCAUCCGAAACUGAGUAGCUAGAGUACUAAAGAGGGUCGCGGAAUUCCCGGUGUAGAGGUGAAAUUCGUAGAUAUCGGGAGGAACACCGGUGGCGAAGGCGGCGACCUGGGUAGAUACUGACGCUGAGGCGCGAAAGCGUGGGGAGCAAACAGG
rnacentral:rRNA from 1 species